CUUUGAGGAUUCACAAGCAAAGCGGACUCAGGAACAUUCCCGCUGGACAGGCACCAAGCGAGAGCAAGCCAAGACGUAAGACGACGACAGAAAGUUUGCAACAUUCGACUUCUGGGUGGAAUUCAGGCUGACCAUAAAAUGUACUAUAACCUUUCCAGUAUUCCCUCCAUCACUCUUCUGACACCAACUGAGAAGAUGGCGUCCAUAUUGCUGACUACACCUUAGAAGACACUCUGACCUACUUGGCCAUAACGUGAACCAGGGUAGGACGUAAAUAACCCAUACUAGACAAUUGAUUUGAUUUUAUCACCGCAUAAUAUCUGACUGCAACCAUUUGGAAUCCACGCAAGUGCAUUUCAUUCAGUUAGGCCUGAGCGUGUGUAUGUAUGUGUGGAGGGGGGGGGAGUGGCUUUUUUUUUUCCUUCCCCCCACAGUCAAUCUGCAGCUGUAGGAUGGCAGCAGUGUUCCACAGGGGGGGUGGGGAAGAGACGAGCUGAAAAGUCACGUGAAGAGGACCCCGGAGUGGGUGUGGCGUGCAGGCCCACCCCCCUUUCGGCGUGUGGUACAGAAAGUGCUCACGACUUUCUCAGUCCCAGCCCUUCCCUCUUGUGUGUCCUCCGCCCUUCCCCUCCCCCUUUACAGAGAGGCUCCACCUUGUGAACAUGCACACACCCACCGAGAAGCUACUCAUGCAAUGCCAGGCUUUCAAUCACAGCCACAGGUCAGAGCAAAAGAAGUCCACAUAAUAAUUCAGUGACACACUACUACGUGUUUGUUGAAGUUCAGGAUGAAUAUUUAAUGCCUACAGUGUCUAGAACGGUGCUCGGUAACUGAGUGGUUUUUCAAAAUACACACCUAAAAAUGAGCAUGGACUUAUUUUUUGUAUUCAUUAUUUAAUAGAUCACUUUUUUGCAUGCAGUUGUGGAUUCAUUAUUUUCCAGAAACGUAUUGUGACUAGCAUUUUUAAAACGUGGGGCUCACAAUUAAAAUGAAGUCUUUAA